ensembl:snRNA U6 U6 spliceosomal RNA
GUGCUCACUUUGGCAGCACAUAUACUAAAAUUGAAACAAUCGAGAGAAGAUUAGCAUGGCCCUGUGCAUGGAUGACACACAAAUUCAUGAAGUCCUCCAUAUUUUA